UACAGAGGUCUCAAGCGUUGUUCGGAUUCAUUGGGCGUAAAGGGUGCGUAGGCGGCGCGGUAAGUCGGAUGUGAAAUCUCGGAGCUUAACUUCGAAACUGCAUUCGAUACUGCCGUGCUUGAGGACUGGAGAGGAGACUGGAAUUUACGGUGUAGCGGUGAAAUGCGUAGAUAUCAGGAGGAACACCGGUGGCGAAGGCGGGUCUCUGGGCCGAUAUUGACGCUGAGGAGCGAAAGCGUGGGGAGCGAACAGG
rnacentral:rRNA from 1 species